rnacentral:rRNA from 1 species
GCUUGCUUUUCUGAUGACGACCGGCGCACGGGUGCGUAACGCGUAUGCAACCUACCUUAUACUGGGGAAUAGCCAGAAGAAAUUCUGAUUAAUGCCCCAUAGUAUUUAUUAACCGCAUGGUUUUAUAAAUUAAAGAUUACGGUAUAAGAUGGGCAUGCGUCCUAUUAGCUAGAUGGUAAGGUAACGGCUUACCAUGGCAACGAUAGGUAGGGGGCCUGAGAGGGUGAUCCCCCACACUGGUACUGAGACACGGACCAGACUCCUACGGGAGGCAGCAGUGAGGAAUAUUGGGCAAUGGAGGCAACUCUGACCCAGCCAUGCCGCGUGCAGGAAGAAGGUUCUAUGGAUCGUAAACUGCUUUUAUUUGUGAAUAAACUCUCGGACGUGUCCGAGCCUGAAUGUAGCAAAUGAAUAAGCACCGGCUAACUCCGUGCCAGCAGCCGCGGUAAUACGGAGGGUGCAAGCGUUAUCCGGAAUCAUUGGGUUUAAAGGGUCCGCA